CGUGUAGGCGGUUCUUUAAGUCAGGUGUGAAAUCCUGUGGCUCAACCACAGAACUGCAUUUGAAACUGAAGGGCUUGAGUAUGGGAGAGGAAAGUGGAAUUCCUGGUGUAGCGGUGAAAUGCGUAGAUAUCAGGAGGAACACCCGUGGCGAAGGCGGCUUUCUGGCCCAUCACUGACGCUGAGACGCGAAAGCUAGGGGAGCGAACG
rnacentral:rRNA from 1 species